GAUUCAUCAAAUCCACCUGAUAUCUGCCAGGUGUGUUUAUUUACUUGAUUUGCCUUGCUGGCUGGGCAUAAUGGGAUUUGAAGCCCACAUAUCCAGAAGGCUUCAGAUGAAGGAAAGCUGGUACAUCCAUUUCCAGAAUUUGCCACCCAGAUGUUUCUAGGAAGAUCGCAAGCAAGACAGAGGCGGUUCAACCACCAGGCCAACUAGGCGCCAUCUUGUUGGGGGCGCCAUCGAGGCAACUCCUGUCUCCUGCGGCCUGCCUCUGCAAGUUCCUGGAUGGUGGCCUUUCAGAGCAAACAAUGCCUCCUUCCCCAAACCCUGUUUGCCAGAUCUUGCAUCAGACCAGGGAGCUGAAGAUGUCUUGUGAUGAAGAAUAAACAGAAUAUCACAUGGAAGAUGUUCCCUCUGCAGAAGCCUGAAGUGAGCGUUCAUUGUCUCAUGUACCAUUGCUGAGGGAGUUAAUUUGGUGUUAAUCUGAGUUUUUUAAUGCCUUUAAAACCUUUCACCAGAAAAACAAGUGUUGAGAAAUCCAUCUUGUAAAUAGAGGAAUACACUCAUAAGUACUCCAACUCAAAAUUUCCAUGUUUCU
rnacentral:lncRNA from 11 species